CGAGGUGCUGCGAACUAAGCCCCUCCCGGAAGUGGCCUACAGAUCGCGUUGUGAAAGUGGCAGCUAUUACUUCGGGGAGCGGAUUCUGCGAAGUCGCCCCUGAACCUUUUCUCUCAUUUCCUUUCGAUCAUUCCUGACUCUUCUGCAUCCACGUAGUGAGGACACGUUCCCGCCAUCAUGGGGGGCGGAGACCUGAAUUUGAAGAAGAGCUGGCAUCCACAGACCCUCCGCAAUGUGGAGAAAGUGUGGAAGGCUGAACAGAAGCAUGAGGCUGAGCGGAAGAAGAUUGAGGAGCUUCAGCGGGAGCUGCGGGAGGAGAGGGCUCGGGAAGAGAUGCAGCGCUAUGCGGAGGACGUUGGGGCUGUCAAGAAAAAAGAAGAAAAAUUGGACUGGAUGUACCAGGGUCCUGGUGGGAUGGUGAAUCGUGAUGAGUACCUGCUGGGGCGGCCCAUUGACAAAUAUGUUUUUGAGAAGAUGGAAGAGAAGGAGGCAGGCUGUUCUUCUGAGACAGGCCUCCUCCCAGGAUCUAUCUUUGCCCCAUCAGGUGCCAAUUCUCUGCUAGACAUGGCCAGCAAAAUCCGGGAGGACCCACUCUUUAUCAUCAGGAAGAAGGAGGAGGAGAAAAAAAGAGAGGUAUUAAAUAAUCCUGUGAAAAUGAAGAAAAUCAAGGAAUUGUUGCAAAUGAGUCUGGAAAAAAAGGAGAAGAAGAAAAAGAAAGAUAAGAAAAAGAAGCACAAGAAACACAAGCACAGAAGCUCGAGUAGCGAUCUUUCCAACAGUGAGGAUGAGCACAGCCGGGGGAGAUCUCAGAAGAAGAUGGCAAAUUCCUCUUCUGUUUUGUCUAAAGUCCCUGGAUAUGGCUUACAGGUUAGGAACUCUGACCAUAACCAGGGACUACAGGGUCCUCUGAAGUCUGAGCAAAAGAGAGUGCAUGGGAUGAAGAACCAUUCCAGAUCCAGAAGCUCCUCCCACUCACCCCCCAGACAUACCAGCAAGAAGAGCACCAGGGAAGUGGGGUCCCGGGACAGGAGGUCUCGAUCCCCAGGGAGAAGGUCACGGUCCCCAAGGCCUAGCAAACUACAUAAUUCUAAGGUGAACAGGAGAGAGAGAGGUCACAGUAAAAGCCCAUCACCCAAAAAAGAGGUCUACCAAAGGCGGCACACUUCCGGAUACACCAGAAAACUCUCAGCAGAGGAACUAGAGCGAAAACGGCAAGAAAUGAUGGAAAAUGCCAAGUGGCGGGAGGAAGAGAGACUGAACACUCUCAAGAGACACGCUAAGGAUGAAGAGCGGGAGCAGCGGCUAGAGAAGCUGGACUCCCGGGAUGGGAAAUUUAUCCACCGCAUGAAGCUAGAGAGUGCAUCUACUUCCUCCCUGGAGGACCGGGUGAAGCGGAAUAUCUACUCUCUACAGAGAACCUCAGUAGCUCUGGAGAAGAACUUUAUGAAAAGAUGAAAAUUGUUCUUUCUUUUACUGGUUUUCCUGAAACUUUCAGGGAGGCUGCUGACCCCUUAAAACUUCUCUUUAUAAGAGUUUGAAUGACUUCUUCCAGAGAUAUCAAACCACCACUGUUCAAAGUGACCUUCCUCCACUGAUUCCUGAAACAGCUCACUUCCUUUGAGAACCAGUGUGACUUGCUUUAUGGGACUCUUAGUAAUGUUUGCUGGGUGCAGAGUGGGUUUUGACUGUUUUUGUGGAUGGGCACUGAACCAUCUUGGUAUGAGGAAGGAGGCUGCUCCCUGGGGUUGUACUAUUUAUCAUGCUACUUUUCUCUCACCUAUGUGGCCAGACUGCUUCACUAUAGACCGGACCUUUCAGAAACCUCUCUCCAGAGUUACCCAGAUAGAUUGUGCUUACUGGGAUAGAUGAACAUUUACCUGAUUUAGUAGAUAAUGUGACAGAAUGAUGUCAGGGCAGAGCCAAAGGGAUGACGGACAACAUAGAAGAGAAAACAACCCCAAAAGCCCUAAAUGAACUGUGACUUUGGACUUUGGAACUGUAAAAGUGUAAUGUAUAUAUAGACACAGGCUCACUAUGUUGCCCAGGCUGAUCUCCAACUGCUUUCAAGUGAACCUCCAACCUUGACCUCCCAGAGUGCUAGGAUUAUAGGUGUCAGCCACCAUGCCUGGAGCCUAGGCCUUUUUGACCUGUACAUUAGCUGGGCAGUUUCUUUGUUUUUCUAAUUACUGAUUCUGCUUAAAAUGUAUUUGGAUUUCUGUUUUGAGCACUUAUGAUGCCAGGCUCUGCCGUGCUUAAAACCCAAGUCUUUUACUAGAAAGAAUUAACAUACGCUUGCUAUUCAUUUAAUCAUCUCAUCACACUUUACUAUGCUAGGGUUAAUUGUGUUUAUUUUAUUAGUUAUUAAUGAAGGGUAUAUUUCUUUUUGUAACUUUGUAGAGUGACCAUGUGCGUUUGAGAAUUUCCAUACCGAACAAUGUUAACUCAUGAUUUAUGUGGAAUAUGUGGCGAUCCUUCAUCCUAGAAAUUUUAUGUAACAAAGUAUGGGAUUGUUAGCUCAAAGAUUUAAUGAAAUGAACCAGAGAAUCGUAAGAUUAUUAGAGA